CUUACCACGAGCAGCGCGACAGCACAAUACAGUGAGCUGCACACAAGCUAUAUCAGAGAAGGAGGCAGAUGAUGAGGCGGCUAUUGCAAAGGGCCACGCAGGAAUCAAUGAGCAAGACAAAUGUUUUAUUUGGACUUGUAAUUCACCAUGCUUUUGUGUCAAAUCUUUGCAAAUAAAGAAUUCUGAGUUGUCCUGUUUUGAUAAAUUAAAGCACAGACUCCUUUGGGCUCUACUGAAGUAGAUAUGCAGUCAAAUAUAAUUCUAAGUGCGGUACAAAAGUAUUUGCCCCCCAGUCGUAACCACUUUUUAAGUGGUUCAGUUCAGUUCCACUAACCACACCCAGAGCUGAUUACUGCCAGACCUGAUGAAUCAGGAACUCACUUAAACAGAACCUGUCGGACAAAGUGAAGUAGACUAAAAGGUCUAAAAAUAAAAAACCAAACAAAAAAACAACAACAACAACAACAACACAACAUGCCAUAAUCUAAAGGAACUCAAGAACAGCUGAGAAACAAACUGACAUCUAUCAGUCCUGAAAGGGUUAUAAAGCCGUUUCUGAGACUUUCGGACUUCAGUGAACCACAGUAAGAGCCGUUAUCCACAAAUGGAGAGAACCUGGAACAUUGCAGAAUCUUCCCAGGAGUGGUCCACCUGCCAAAGUUACUCCAAGAGCGCAUCAACGACUCAUCCAGGAGGUUACAAAAGAACCCAGAAUAAAAUCUGAACUGCAGGCCUCAGCUGUGUCACUUAAGGUCAGAGUUUGUGAUUCAACAAGACUGGGCAAAAAUGGUAUCCAUGGGAGAGUAAGAAGAAAGCCGCUGCUAACCACAAAGAACAUGACAGCUUGUCUCACAGCUGCCAAAAACAUCGUGAUGAUCACCAGGACUUGUGGGAAAAUAUUCUGAAGACAAAAGUUGAACUUUUUGGAAAGUGUGAGUCCUGUUACAUCUGGUGUAAAACUUACACAGCGGUCUGGUGCUUCAGGUUUUGGAGUGACUGAGUCAAAGUCUGGACUUAAAUCAGAUUGAAAUGCUUUGGCAUGAUCUUAAACAGGCUUUUCAUGUUCAAAAAUCCUCCAGUGUGACUGAAUUAAAGCAAAUCUGCAAAGAAGAGUGGGCCAAAAUUCCUCCACAGCAAUGUGACAGACUCAUUGCUAGUUAUCACACACGGUAGAUUGCAGUUCUUACUGCCAAGGGUGGCACAACCAGUUAUUAGGUUUAGGGAGCAAUUAGUUUUUCACAUAGAGCCUGGUAGAUCUGGAUAAUUCUUUUUUCCAUUAAUAAAUUAAAUCAUUUUUUUAAAACUGCAUUUUUUUAUUCAGUCAGGUUAUGUUUGUCAAAUGUUAAAUUGGCUUGAUGAUCUAAAACACGUAAGCUAAAACCUAAGAAAUCAGGAACGAAGCACAUACUUCUGUUGGGCCUUAGGGCAGCCCCUCACUUCAUCCGCUCUGUGAAAUAAGCUUUUCAAGCCAAUCUCUCUCUUUGAGACAACUUUCUUCUGAUUGGCUGCCUCCUUCAAGCAGAAGGUUUUAGCAGCAGUUGGGUGGGGUUGCUGUGUCUGUGAUGACCAUAUAAGGGUGUCAUCUUUCGUUGAUGUCAUAGAGAUCCAAGAUUAGAAAAAAGUGCCUGACACAGAGUGUUUAGAGCAGCCUGAAGUUUGAGUUUUGCGUCACAGAGAUUUUUUUCUUUUUAUUUAUUUUUUAUAUAUUUUUUUCAUGAUCUUCACCAACAGCUCCUCGGAGGGAAAUCGUCUUCUCCGCCAUAGGGCCGUCCCAGAAGAUGAACAGAGGUCUAAAGGUCAUGUGCUUUAGAAAUAGGAAACAAAAUCCAGCAAGGACCUGAGAGAUGUAUUUGGUCAUUCAGCUCCACUGUUCAAAAAAGCCUCAACAGAAAUGGUAUCAGUGGAUGGGUGGCUGUCAAGAGGCCAUCAUGAAAUACCAUCUGGAAAGAGUCACACAGUGGGACACUAUCAGUCAUGGACUGGUCUCCCCAGAGCCCAGAUCCUAACAUCAUUGAAGCAGUGUGGGAUCUUCUUCACAGAGAACAGAACAAAAAGCAGCCAACAUCCAAAGAAGGGCCUUGAAUGUUCAUCAAGCCCAGAGAACUAUUCUUAAAGACUACUUAAAGAAAGAAAGCUGCCUAUGAGAGUUCAGGCUGUGCUGAAGAAUAAAGGUGGUCAUGCUAAAUAUUGAGCACUCUAUUUAGAUUCUUUGGAGUACCCCGAGUGAGACCGAAUUGAAGUCAUGCACUACAGACAGUUAGAAAAUUAAAUUCUUUUAAAUGAAUUAUGCUGAGGUAUUAAUAGCUAAAAAUGCACUGUCUACA
ensembl:lncRNA